rnacentral:lncRNA from 10 species
UUCUCAGUCAAUAAGAGAUUAGAUAGGUGAGAAGGUUUAAACAUAGCCAUGCCUCUUCUCAUCACCUGCUAAUCCAUUCCCACACUAGGCCCUGGGGCAGAGGCCCUAGAAAUGUAUCUGCUGAUGCACACAGAGCCCUCCAAAGGCCUUCUUUCCUUCUCCCGGACUUCCAGGAAAGCCGUGAGCAGCAAAGUCUUCUGGUGUUGUUUCCUGGCAAAUGGAUCCCUGGGAAAUGUGGAAAGAUCAGAAGCUGCUGCAUGGUGUUACGGGGUUGGUGGGAGUGCAAGAAAUGGGUCAGAUAUCAUCCAAUGCCUUCCUGACCAGGCUUCACAGGAGACCUGCUGGUUGGAGGAGAAGUUUGGAAGAUACCAGAUGUGUACUCCACCUGUCAUCUGCCAAACCUGCAGGAUGGUGAAUUAGAGGCUUUUAGCAUGUCUUAGCCACUUGGAAAUUCAUAAAGAUAAACUCUGUGAGCUUUAAUUUAAGAAGAAAAAUGGGAAAUCCACAAGAAUUGUGAAGGACACCUCAGAUCCCAGGAAGGAGAAUUCAGGCAAAAAGCCCCCAUGCUGGCAUCAGGCGGAUAAGGAUUUCAGUCAAGGAGAUGCCUACCUGGGGACAGAAUCUGGAAAAGACCUCAAAAUAGAUCUUCUCAAGGCACCCGGAGGCAAACGAGGCAUAGACACACUAGGAUAAAAGCUGUCUUCAAGUCAGAGCCCUCCCUAGGGCUCCAGGCAGAGCAAAGGACCAGAUCUCCCCCUCUGCACUCCCCACCUACAGAUGAGCACCCAGGCAGGGGACACUCAAAGCAGGUGAAUGAGGGGGGGCAUGCAGAAGCCUUGAUCUCCGAGUGGUCUGUGGCCGUGAGGUGGAGAGAUACAACUGCUUUGUCGAGGACCCAAGGGAAAACCGAGCCGUGGCUGUCUGAGUCUUAUCAAAGGAAAAACGAUUGGUGCCUGGCACAUUACAGGCCCUCAAUGUCUACCAGUUGGAUGACUGAAAGUGACUGGGGCAUCCGCCUGUCAUGGGUACGAAAGCCAGCUUCACCAUUCUCUACCAGCUUGCUCCAGGAGUCAAUGUUCUGGGUGGCUCACAGGAAUUAAUCAUGGCAGUAACACCAUGAGCAGGGUCACUGUGAACUGUUAUGCAGGCAUGUUCUGCGGAAAGGGUCCACUUGGCUGAGAGGCAUGCUUCUUGCCGAAUCAUGAGUGCAGGUGUGGAGCUGUGUCCACUUGGAGGAAGGAAGACCUUUUGCUAAUGCAUAUCCAGGUGAUGUAUUAACUGGCAGCAGCCCAGCCUGCUUAUGAGGAUAUAAGCUGCUACAGGGCAGGGCUUUUUGUCUAUCCUGUUCCCUGAUGGAUCCCAAGUGCCUGAUCCAGUGCCUUGCACAGAGUCUCUCAGGCUGCCCUCACCCCUGGGGGAAGUGGGGGAUGAAUUUGGCAGAGCUGGCCUCAGGAGGUGGAUGGCCUUGCUUCAGAGGCUCUCUGUCAAAACUCUUUCUACUGCUCAAUCAUCUUCCUGGGAAAAAAUAUCAGAUGGCAGGAUCGAGAGGGAGCAGUGUUGCCUGGACAGUGUGGGAAGUAAAUGGCACAGUAUGGGAUUAAAGAAGGAUAUUUGGUAAGUCCUGAACUUGUGUCCCACAAUCAGUUUUCCUCAGACAGGACAAUAAGACACUGCAGGCCUCAGAAGGAUCAAAGUAAAUCAGCCAUGCCUAGCAUAUACUGAAACCAUAUCUGCAAGUUCUGAAGAUCAUGGAACACACAGAAUGUUUGUUGAAUUCAUAUCAAGAUGAAUGAAAAUAAGCGUGGAAAAGAAACUAAGAAGUGAUUAUUCUGUUGUUUUCCAAGCUGGGCAAACCACAUGUGUAGCAAGGCUGGCAUUUGUCCUGAAUCACUAUGUUUCCAGGACCACAGACACCCAGGAGUAUAGUCAGAAGUAGGUACGUGGAUCUCAAAACAAUGUUAUAAGAAAGCUUGAAGGAAUGGAGAACAUUUAGCCCAGGAGAGCAUCCAUGGGACAUGACUAUUAUUUUCAGAAAAUGGAAGGCUCUUGAUGUAGGGCAGGGAAUCACAAUUGUUUUGUAUGGCCUCAAGGAGCACUGGAGCCAUGCAUGUGAAUUGCAUUUUAGCUUAGAAUUUAAACUUCGGAAAACAUUCUAAUAAUAGAGCUUUUAAAUAUAGAAUAGGCAGACUCAGUAGGAAGUCAGCCAUCUACAAGUAAAGGUCUUCAGCAUGUGCUCUAUCAGGUGACAGAUUCAAAAGUUAGUCUGGAUUACCUUUAAAGGAAAAAAUUAUUUGAUUCUAUGAAAGGGGGGAGAAAAGUCACUAUAUUAGUUGGAGUAAGGGCUCCAUAACAGAGACUCAACAAUUCAAUCACAUAAAGGGCCAGGAAAUUGAUGACUCUCUCCCAGAACACUGCAAGGCAGGUAGGCAGCCUCUGCUUCAUAAAACCAUCAUGGGAACCAGGCUGGGGUGGGAGAACCUCAAUGUGAGGCUUCUGAGGCAAACCCGGUUGUCAACCAUAUCCAGUCAGUGGGAGGAAACAGGCGAAGUCCAGGACUGGAUACUGCUUAUUAACCAUGGAAUACAGAAGUUGCACGCAUUACUUCUACUCCUGUUCCAUUGGUGUAUCUGGUCUCCUGACUACAUUUCACUGCAAGGGAUGCUGGGAAGUGUACUCUGAGCCAAGCAGCCAGGAAGAAAAAAAAUGAAUUGAGAAUCCCAUGGCAGACUUGUGAUGGACAUCCCAAUUAUCCUGAUUUGAUCAUUACACGUUGCAUGUAGGUAUCCGAAUAUCACAUAUACCCCAAAAAUAUGUACAACUAUUAUAUAUAAAUAAAAAAAAUUUUAAACAGCACACUUGGCUACAGUCAUCUAUCAAACUAUCUGUCAAUUGUUUAUACAUCUAUUACUAUAUUAAUAAUAAACACCAAUGUGUUAUAUUAAUAUUAAUAAAUUACUACAGUUAAAAACACUGCUUUAAAGCCAUUCUGCCUGGUUAUGACACCUAACUCCACCA